rnacentral:rRNA from 1 species
CUCGUAGUUGGAUUUCGGGACGGCACGGUCGGUCCGCCGCAAGGUGUGUCACUGGCCGGGCUGUUCUUCCUCGCAAAGACUGCGUGUGCUCUUAGCUGAGUGUGCGCAGGACUUGCGACGUUUACUUUGAAAAAAUUAGAGUGUUCAAAGCAGGCCAUCGCUUGAAUACAUAAGCAUGGAAUAAUGGAAUAGGACUUUGGUUCUAUUUUGUUGGUUUCUGGAACCGAAGUAAGAUUAAGAG